CAUGAAGUUGGAAUUGCUAGUAAUCGCGGAUCAGCAUGCCGCGGUGAAUACGUUCCCUGGCCUUGUACACACCGCCCGUCACACCAUGGGAGCCGGUAAUACCCGAAGUCAGUAGCCUAACCGCAAGGGGGGCGCUGCCGAAGGUAGGAUUGGCGACUGGGGUGAAGUCGUAACAAGGUAGC
rnacentral:rRNA from 1 species